UCAGAUCGACUUUAGUCUCUGAAACCUUCAAACUUCAGCCGGACAUUUGUCCGGCUUUUUUUUUGCUUUUU
rnacentral:sRNA from 1 species